GGGGGGGGGGGGGGGGGGGGGAACAGCUCAAUCAUGUUUUGCCACAUCGGUCGGCACAAAAUAGCUUUAUUAUAAAAAUCAAAUAAAUAAAGACUAACAAAUUUGGUAGGAAAGAUAAAUAAAAUUACAAUUGUGUUAUUCGCUUUCCCUUUCUUAUCCCUAAUGUAUCCACAAAACGGAAAAAUACAAUUUUAUCAAAAACGACUAAUAUAAAGUAUAAACAUCAACAUAGAGGAAUCGGGAAAACUAGGGUUUCAAGACCAAUAUUUCACACACAGUUGAAGAGAUACAAAACAGCUCGAAUUUCACACAAUUCCAAAGCAAGAAAAAAUAAAUUUGCGUAAUAAUCAAACAAAUAAUGUAAUCCACCUGUAGACAAUAGAAGAAAGUAUUAAUUCACACAAUGUUAUCAGAACCUACUCGACCCCAAGCUCCCAAAGUGAAGAUUUUUAAGGUAUUUCGGUUUAGGGUUUCAAGUGUGGAAGAAGAGCAGUAGAAAUUGCUACAAUCCGUAGUGUAAAAAAGGUGGAAAAAAGGCGGCGAUGUAUAUGACGAGGAAUCUCGAUGGUUAUUUAUAUUCAAGCGUAGGGUAUUUUGAUUGGCGGAUAUGUAGUCGCGAAUUAACUACUAGCGGUAACUUGUUUCCUAAUUGCUAGUUCAAGUCCGGAGUCGCGUCUCGGCGUUUCUACUCCGUAAUUGGGUAGGGGUUGGGGUAUAUUUGCUUGCGCGGCAAGAAAGGUUUAAUAUGUGAUAUAUUC
rnacentral:lncRNA from 1 species